rnacentral:rRNA from 1 species
CACUCCUGCGGGAGGCAGCAGUGGGGAAUUUUGGACAAUGGGCGAAAGCCUGAUCCAGCCAUGCCGCGUGCAGGAUGAAGGCCUUCGGGUUGUAAACUGCUUUUGUACGGAACGAAACGGCCUUUUCUAAUAAAGAGGGCUAAUGACGGUACCGUAAGAAUAAGCACCGGCUAACUACGUGCCAGCAGCCGCGGUAAUACGUAGGGUGCAAGCGUUAAUCGGAAUUACUGGGCGUAAAGCGUGCGCAGGCGGUUAUGUAAGACAGUUGUGAAAUCCCCGGGCUCAACCUGGGAACUGCAUCUGUGACUGCAGAGCUAGAGUACGGAAGAGGGGGAUGGAAUUCCGCGUGUAGCAGUGAAAUGCGUAGAUAUGCGGAGGAACACCGAUGGCGAAGGCAAUCCCCUGGACCUGUACUGACGCUCAUGCACGAAAGCGUGGGGAGCAAACAGGAUUAGAAACCCCAGUAGUCCCAU